rnacentral:sRNA from 1 species
GGGGUGUUUCACCUGUUUUUUUUCUAGGAGCACCCCUGGCCUGCUUCCCGUCUGCCUGCUCGGAUGCUGCUGCUGGCUUCCUGCUGUUUUGAGGCCUCUGAUGCUGGAAGAACAGGAGGAAGCCAGCUCCCCACAGCUGUGUCCUCUUCCUUCCCCAGGAGAUGUGGGUUCCUUCGUGCUGAAGUUAGUGGAGGGCCUUCAGGGCCAGACCUGGGCCCCAGACUGGGUGGAGGAGCUGCGGGAAGCCGACCGGCAGAAGGAGCAGACCUUUCGGGAGAAGGCAGCGAUGCCUGUGGCCCAGCACCUGAACCCAGUGCAGGUGCUGCAGCUGGUGGAGGAAACGCUACCUGACAACUCAAUUCUGGUGGUGGAUGGCGGGGACUUCGUGGGCACUGCUGCCCAUCUGGUACAGCCCCGCGGCCCCCUGCGCUGGCUCGAUCCUGGUAAGGAAGGGCCCCCGCCUGGGGCAGUGGGCACCAUCCAUCAGGACGCCUUCACACCCACCUGCUCUUGGUCCUCUUAGGGGCCUUUGGGACUCUGGGAGUUGGUGCAGGAUUUGCACUUGGGGCCAAGCUGUGCCGGCCAGAUGCUGAGGUGAGGCACUGGAGUUGGGAGACUUGCUGCUCUCUAGGCCCUGAUCCACCCUAACCAUCCUGGGUCCCCUCCCGACUAGGUCUGGUGCCUGUUUGGGGACGGAGCUUUUGGCUACAGCCUCAUCGAAUUUGAUACAUUCGU